GCGGAGGAAAAGAAACCAACAGGGAUUGCCCUAGUAACGGCGAGUGAAGCGGCAACAGCUCAAAUUUGAAAUCUGGCUCUCUUUGGGGGUCCGAGUUGUAAUUUGCAGAGGAUGCUUUGGCAUUGGCGGCGGUCUAAGUUCCUUGGAACAGGACAUCGCAGAGGGUGAGAAUCCCGUACGUGGGCGCCUGCCUUUGCCGUGUAAAGCUCCUUCGACGAGUCGAGUUGUUUGGGAAUGCAGCUCUAAAUGGGAGGUAAAUUUCUUCUAAAGCUAAAUACCGGCCAGAGACCGAUAGCGCACAAGUAGAGUGAUCGAAAGAUGAAAAGUACUUUGGAAAGAGAGUCAAAAAGCACGUGAAAUUGUUGAAAGGGAAGCGCUUGCAGCCAGACUUGCCCGCAGUUGCUCACCUAGGCUUUGGCCUGGGGCACUCUUCUGCGGGCAGGCCAGCAUCAGUUUGGGCGGUCGGACAAAGGCCUCUGUCAAGUAUCUCCCUUCGGGGUGACCUUAUAGGGGAGGCGUAAUGCGACCAGCCCGGACUGAGGUCCGCGCAUCUGCUAGGAUGCUGGCGUAAUGGCUGUAAGCGGCCCGUCUUGAAACACGGACCAAGGAGUCUAACAUCUAUGCGAGUGUUUGGGUGUCAAGCCCGGGCGCGCAAUGAAAGUGAACGGAGGUGGGAACCCUUUGGGUGCACCAUCGACCGAUCCUGAUGUCUUCGGAUGGAUUUGAGUAAGAGCAUAGCUGUUGGGACCCGAAAGAUGGUGAACUAUGCUUGAAUAGGGUGAAGCCAGAGGAAACUCUGGUGGAGGCUCGCAGCGGUUCUGACGUGCAAAUCGAUCGUCAAAUUUGGGCAUAGGGGCGAAAGACUAAUCGAACCAUCUAGUAGCUGGUUCCUG
rnacentral:sRNA from 1 species